AUGAACGCUGGCGGCGUGCCUAAUACAUACAGGUCGAGCGAACAGACGAGGAGCUUGCUCCUCUGACGUUAGCGGCGGACGGGUGAGUAACACGUGGAUAACCUACCUAUAAGACUGGGAUAACUUCGGGAAACCGGAGCUAAUACCGGAUAAUAUAUUGAACCGCAUGGUUCAAUAGUGAAAGACGGUUUUGCUGUCACUUAUAGAUGGAUCCGCGCCGCAUUAGCUAGUUGGUAAGGUAACGGCUUACCAAGGCAACGAUGCGUAGCCGACCUGAGAGGGUGAUCGGCCACACUGGAACUGAGACACGGUCCAGACUCCUACGGGAGGCAGCAGUAGGGAAUCUUCCGCAAUGGGCGAAAGCUUGACGGAGCAACGCCGCGUGAGUGAUGAAGGUCUUCGGAUCGUAAAACUCUGUUAUUAGGGAAGAACAAAUGUGUAAGUAACUAUGCACGUCUUGACGGUACCUAAUCAGAAAGCCACGGCUAACUACGUG
rnacentral:rRNA from 1 species